UUGGUGUGGGAAGCACAUGAGGAGGGAAAUUUGAGACAUGUUUUGACCUUUCUUCUUAGGUGCUGAAUAUAAUAACAUUCCCAGAGCCCCUGAUCCUGGGAGAGCAGUGUUGGCAGCGUUGUAAGGAAGAGACCAGCAAGGCAGGAGGACAUAGUUCCAAGUACUGGGGAUUUGCUUGCUUUCCAUGGACUCCUAUCUUGCGACAUCUUUCGUAUGACAGAGACAUGGAUUUGUUUCUUUGGUCAAUUUCCUGCCUUUUCUGAUUUGAAUGCUUUGUCUGAAAGGUAGAUAUUUCUAAGGAACUGAAAACUUCCAAAGGAGUUAAUGACUGAGGUCUUGAUGUAGGGUGUGGGCACAUAUAGUAAGUGGAGUUCCAUGCUAAUUCUUCAAAAAUUGCUCAGAUAUGGGAAUAAAGGAAUGGAGCAUAGAGAUGAAAAAUGUGCU
rnacentral:lncRNA from 1 species